AGAGUUUGAUCCUGGCUCAGAACGAACGCUGGCGGCGUGCCUAACACAUGCAAGUCGAACGGAGUUACUACGAGAUUACUGCUUCGGUAGUAUGAUUGUUUUAACUUAGUGGCGCACGGGUGAGUAGCACGUGGGUAAUCUGCCCUCAGGUGGGGGACAACUACGGGAAACUGUAGCUGAUACCGCAUAAGGCCACGAACUGGAAUGUUAGUGGUAAAAGGAUUUAUUCGCCUGAAGAUGAGCCCGCGGCCUAUCAGGUAGUUGGUGGGGUAAAGGCCUACCAAGCCUAAGACGGGUAGUCGGUCUGAGAGGAUGAUCGGCCACACUGGAACUGAGACACGGUCCAGACUCCUACGGGAGGCAGCAGUGAGGAAUUUUGCGCAAUGGGGGAAACCCUGACGCAGCAACGCCGCGUGGGUGAAGAAGGCUUUCGGGUCGUAAAGCCCUGUCAGGUGGGAAGAACCGUUUCGAUACUAAUAAUGUCGAAGCCUGACGUACCACCAGAGAAGCACCGCCAACU
rnacentral:rRNA from 1 species